GCAUCAUUGGUCCAGCGGUAGGAUUACUGCCUUCCAAGCAGUCGGCUCGGGUUCGACUCCCGAAUGAUGCA